rnacentral:rRNA from 1 species
GAUGAACGCUGGCGGCGUGCUUAACACAUGCAAGUCGAACGAAACACCUUAUUUGAUUUUCUUCGGAACUGAAGAUUUGGUGAUUGAGUGGCGGACGGGUGAGUAACGCGUGGGUAACCUGCCCUGUACAGGGGGAUAACAGUCAGAAAUGACUGCUAAUACCGCAUAAGACCACAGCACCGCAUGGUGCAGGGGUAAAAACUCCGGUGGUACAGGAUGGACCCGCGUCUGAUUAGCUGGUUGGUGGGGUAACGGCUCACCAAGGCGACGAUCAGUAGCCGGCUUGAGAGAGUGAACGGCCACAUUGGGACUGAGACACGGCCCAAACUCCUACGGGAGGCAGCAGUGGGGAAUAUUGCACAAUGGGGGAAACCCUGAUGCAGCGACGCCGCGUGAGUGAAGAAGUAUUUCGGUAUGUAAAGCUCUAUCAGCAGGGAAGAAAAUGACGGUACCUGACUAAGAAGCCCCGGCUAACUACGUG